UUAGAAUAGAAUUUAAGGUUUAACCUGCCCACUGAUUUAUUAAAUGGCCGCAGUAAUUUGACUGUGCAAAGGUAGCAUAAUAAUUAGUUUUUUAAUUAAAAGCUUGUAUGAAUGGUUGGACGAGAUGAAUACUGUCUCUAGGUAAUAAAUAGAAUUUAAUUUUUAAGUUAAAAAGCUUAAAUAAUAAUAAAAGACGAGAAGACCCUAUAGAUCUUUAUAAUAUUUUUUAUAUAUUUAAUUAAGAUUAUUUUAUUAUUUAUAAUAAAUAUUAUUAUAUUGGGGUAAUAUAAGAAUUAAAUAAAUUUUUUAUUGUAUUUUUAUAUAGAUUAAUAAAUUUAUGGUCCUUUAUUAGAGAUUAUAAGAUUAAGUUACCUUAGGGAUAACAGCGUAAUUUUUUUAGAGAGUUCAUAUCGAUAAAAAAGUUUGCGACCUCGAUGUUGGAUUAAAAAUUAUUUUAGGUGUAGUAGUUUAAAAUUUUGGUCUGUUCGACCAUUGAAUUUUUACAUGAUCUGAGUUCAGACCGGUGUAAGCCAGGUCGGUUUCUAUCUUUAUUAGAUUAUUAUAUUUUAGUACGAAAGGACCAAAUAUAAGAUAUAGAAUAUUUAAUUUUUUGAAUUAUA
rnacentral:rRNA from 1 species